rnacentral:rRNA from 1 species
CAGCCGCCGCGGUAAUACGUAGGUGGCAAGCGUUGUCCGGAAUUAUUGGGCGUAAAGGGCUCGCAGGCGGCUUCUUAAGUCUGAUGUGAAAGCCCCCGGCUCAACCGGGGAGGGUCAUUGGAAACUGGGAAACUUGAGUGCAGAAGAGGAGAGUGGAAUUCCACGUGUAGCGGUGAAAUGCGUAGAGAUGUGGUGGAACACCAGUGGCGAAGGCGACUCUCUGGUCUGUAACUGACGCUGAGGAGCGAAAGCGUGGGGAGCGAACAGGAUUAGAUACCCGGGUAGUCCCUGUCUCUUAUAC